rnacentral:rRNA from 1 species
AGGACGAACGCUGGCGGCGUGCUUAACACAUGCAAGUCGAGCGGAAAGGCCCUUUCGGGGGUACUCGAGCGGCGAACGGGUGAGUAACACGUGAGUAAUCUGCCCCUCACUUUGGGAUAGCCACCGGAAACGGUGAUUAAUACCGGAUAUGACGCGGCCUCGCAUGGGGUUGUGUGGAAAGUUUUUCGGUGAGGGAUGUGCUCGCGGCCUAUCAGCUUGAUGGUGAGGUAAUGGCUCACCAUGGCUUCGACGGGUAGCCGGCCUGAGAGGGUGACCGGUCACACUGGGACUGAGACACGGCCCAGACUCCUACGGGAGGCAGCAGUGGGGGAAUAUUGGACAAUGGGCGGAAGCCUGAUCCAGCAACGCCGCGUGAGGGAUGACGGCCUUCGGGUUGUAAACCUCUUCGGUGGGCGAAGCGCAAGUGACGGUACCACUAAGAAGCACCGGCCAACUACGUGCCAGCAGCCGC